GGAAUUCUGGACAAUGGGGGCAACCCUGAUCCAGCGACGCCGCGUGAAGGAUGAAGGUCUUCGGAUUGUAAACUUCUUUUGGAGGGGAUGAACGUCCCUGCGAAUAGCAGGGAGUGACAGUACUCUCUGAAUAAGCCACGGCUAACUACGUGCCAGCAGCCGCGGUAAUACGUAGGUGGCAAGCGAUCCUCGGAAUCACUAGGCGUAAAGCGCAGGUAGGCGGUUUGGUAAGUCUCUUGUGAAAGCUCCCGGCUCAACUGGGAGAGGUCAAGGGAAACUACCGGACUAGAGUGUGGUAGGGGAUACUGGAAUUCCUGGUGUAGCGGUGAAAUGCGUAGAUAUCAGGAGGAAUACCUAUGGCGAAAGCAGGUAUCUGGGCCAUCACUGACGCUGAGCUGCGAAAGCUAGGGGAGCAAAC
rnacentral:rRNA from 1 species